rnacentral:rRNA from 1 species
GAUGAACGCUAGCGGCAGGCUUAAUACAUGCAAGUCGAGGGGCAGCAGGUCCCGCAGCAAUGCGGGAUGCUGGCGACCGGCAAACGGGUGCGGAACACGUACAGAACCUUCCUUUAAGUGGGGAAUAGCCCGGGGAAACCCGGAUUAAUACCCCGUAACAUAAUGAAGUGGCAUCACUUUAUUAUUAUAGCAGCAAUGCGCUUGAAGAUGGCUGUUCGGCUGAUUAGGUAGUUGGCGGGGUAACGGCCCACCAAGCCUACGAUCAGUAACUGGUGUGAGAGCACGACCAGUCACACUGGGACUGAGACACGGCCCAGACUCCUACGGGAGGCAGCAGUGGGGAAUAUUGGACAAUGGGGGAAACCCUGAUCCAGCCAUGCCGCGUGUGUGAAGAAGGCCUUAUGGUUGUAAAGCACUUUAAGCGAGGAGGAGGCUACUGAGACUAAUACUCUUGGAUAGUGGACGUUACUCGCAGAAUAAGCACCGGCUAACUCUGUGCCAGCCGCCGCCGUAA